rnacentral:lncRNA from 1 species
UUGUCUUUGUUAUAAGAUUAUCUAUUACAAUCAAAGUUUUGUCAAUUCUUUUUCUACAAAAAAUGUGUAUCAAAAUUGUACAUAUAACAUUUUUUUUGCCCAAAGAGCAUUUAGUAUGAAAUCAUGAGUUUCAAAAAGCUAGUAUAAAUGUAGGAAACAAAAAAGAUGCAUUUUUGAUGUUGUCUGAAGAUUAGCUUUAAUAACAAUUAUAAAGUCAUUUGCUUUGAAUUUGUCAAAACUAUAUUAUAAAUCAUGGCUGGACUAAAGUAACAUCUAAUACCAGGUUGAUUUCAUUAUAUGUGAGGGCCUCAGUGAUUAUAAUGUUUUUUAACUAUAUGUGUUCAUUCUCUUUGAAUAAAUUAACCAUGUUGAAGGCCGUAUAUUGACCUAUAAUAGUUUAUUUUAUAAAUUGUUAUUUGGACGGAGAUUUGUCUCAUUGGCACUCACACCACAUCUUCCUAAAUCUAUUAUAAUUAAAAUGUUAUAUAAUACCUGCACUAUCUUAUGGCUAUCCAGCUUUUCACAGAAUAAGUUGAGCAUGAGGAGAAUUUGGACACUAAGAUGCACACAGAAUCAGAUAUAUAUGUCCUUGUUAUGUGUUCACUACUAUAGCAGUUCU